rnacentral:tRNA from 1 species
GAGUCCUUAGCUCAGUGGUAGAGUAUUUUAUUGGAGAUCAAGAGGUCACUAGUUCAAAUUUGGCAGGGCCCU